AAGAGAUCGGGAUAACACCUAGGAAACAGAUGCUAAUACCGGAUAACAACAGAUGAUGCCUAUCAACUAGUUUAAAAGAUGGUUCUGCUAUCNACUCUUGGAUGGACCUGCGGUGCAUUAGCUAGUUGGUAGGGUAACGGCCUACCAAGGCGAUGAUGCAUAGCCGAGUUGAGAGACUGAUCGGCCACAUUGGGACUGAGACACGGCCCAAACUCCUACGGGAGGCAGCAGGU
rnacentral:rRNA from 1 species